rnacentral:rRNA from 1 species
CUCAGGGAGGUAGUGACAAGAAAUAACAACACUGGAAAUUUUAUUUCUAGUGAUUGGAAUGAUGGGAAUUUAAACCCCUUUCAGAGUAACAAUUGGAGGGCAAGUCUGGUGCCAGCAGCCGCGGUAAUUCCAGCUCCAAUAGCGUAUAUUAAAGUUGUUGCAGUUAAAAAGCUCGUAGUUGGAUGUCUGCUGGAAGCAAUCAGUCCGCCCUAUUUGUAGGGUGUGCACUUGAUGAAUUCUGGCAUCUAUGUCCUAAUGUGAUAGAUACGGCGGUGUAUAUGGGUUAAUCCUAUAUACCCGUUUUUGUAUAUUAUAUUGGGAUAAUACCGUUACUUUGAGAAAAUUAGAGUGUUUGAAGCAGGCUAAUUGCCUUGAAUACUGCAGCAUGGAAUAACAAUAUAGGAUUUCGGUUCUAUUUUGUUGGUUUCUAGGACUGAAAUAAUGAUUAAUAGGGACAGUUGGGGGCAUUCGUAUUUAACUGUCAGAGGUGAAAUUCUUAGAUUUGUUAAAGACGAACUACUGCGAAAGCAUUUGCCAAAGAUGUUUUCAUUAAUCAAGAACGAAAGUUAGGGGCUCGAGGACGAUCAGAUACCGUCGUAGUCUUAACCAUAAACUAUGCCGACUAGAGAUAGGAAAAUGUCAUUUUUCUGACUU